UGAGGAAUAUUGGUCAAUGGGCGAGAGCCUGAACCAGCCAAGUAGCGUGAAGGAUGAAGGUCCUACGGAUUGUAAACUUCUUUUGUGCGGGGAUAAAGUGAGGGACGUGUCCCUUAUUGCAGGUACCGCACGAAUAAGGACCGGCUAAUUCCGUGCCAGCAGCCGCGGUAAUACGGAAGGUCCGGGCGUUAUCCGGAUUUAUUGGGUUUAAAGGGAGCGCAGGCCGUCCUUUAAGCGUGCUGUGAAAUGCCGCGGCUCAACCGUGGCACUGCAGCGCGAACUGGAGGACUUGAGUACGCACGAGGUAGGCGGAAUUCGUGGUGUAGCGGUGAAAUGCUUAGAUAUCACGAAGAACUCCGAUUGCGAAGGCAGCUUACCGGAGCGCAACUGACGCUGAGGCUCGAAAGCGCGGGUAUCGAACAGGAUUAGAUACCCUGGUAGUCCGCGCGGUAAACGAUGGAUGCCCGCCGUUGGGAUUUGGAUUUCAGCGGCCAAGCGAAAGCGUUAAGCAUCCCACCUGGGGAGUACGCCGGCAACGGUGAAACUCAAAGGAAUUGACGGGGGCCCGCACAAGCGGAGGAACAUGUGGUUUAAUUCGAUGAUACGCGAGGAACCUUACCCGGGCUUAAAUUGCAAAGGAAUAAUCUGGAAACAGAUUAGUCUUCGGACCUUUGUGAAGGUGCUGCAUGGUUGUCGUCAGCUCGUGCCGUGAGGUGUCGGCUCAAGUGCCAUAACGAGCGCAACCCCUGUCCAUAGUUGCCAUCAGGUCGUGCUGGGCACUCUGUGGAGACUGCCGCCGUAAGGUGUGAGGAAGGUGGGGAUGACGUCAAAUCAGCACGGCCCUUACGUCCGGGGCUACACACGUGUUACAAUGGGGCAUACAGCGAGUUGGAUGUGCGCAAGUACGUCCGGAUCAAUAAAGUGCCUCUCAGUUCGGACUGGGGUCUGCAACCCGACCCCACGAAGCUGGAUUCGCUAGUAAUCGCGCAUCAGCCAUGGCGCGGUGAAUACGUUCCC
rnacentral:rRNA from 1 species